rnacentral:rRNA from 1 species
CUCUGGCGUCGAGCGGCGGACGGGUGAGUAAUGCUUGGGAAUAUGCCUUAUGGUGGGGGACAACAGUUGGAAACGACUGCUAAUACCGCAUGAUGUCUACGGACCAAAGUGGGGGACCUUCGGGCCUCACGCCAUAAGAUUAGCCCAAGUGGGAUUAGCUAGUUGGUGAGGUAAUGGCUCACCAAGGCGACGAUCCCUAGCUGGUUUGAGAGGAUGAUCAGCCACACUGGGACUGAGACACGGCCCAGACUCCUACGGGAGGCAGCAGUGGGGAAUAUUGCACAAUGGGCGCAAGCCUGAUGCAGCCAUGCCGCGUGUGUGAAGAAGGCCUUCGGGUUGUAAAGCACUUUCAGUAAGGAGGAAAGGUUAAGUGUUAAUAGCACUUAGCUGUGACGUUACUUACAGAAGAAGCACCGGCUAACUCCGUGCCAGCAGCCGCGGUAAUACGGAGGGUGCGAGCGUUAAUCGGAAUUACUGGGCGUAAAGCGUACGCAGGCGGUUUGUUAAGCGAGAUGUGAAAGCCCCGGGCUCAACCUGGGAACUGCAUUUCGAACUGGCAAACUAGAGUGUGAUAGAGGGUGGUAGAAUUUCAGGUGUAGCGGUGAAAUGCGUAGAGAUCUGAAGGAAUACCGAUGGCGAAGGCAGCCACCUGGGUCAAC